AAUAGAUACCCAGGUAGUCCUAGCCGUAAACGAUACUCGCUAGGUGUCGGCCACGGUGCGACCGUUGUCGGUGCCGUAGGGAAGCCGUGAAGCGAGCCACCUGGGAAGUACGGCCGCAAGGCUGAAACUUAAAGGAAUUGGCGGGGGGAGCACCACAACGGGUGGAGCUUGCGGUUUAAUUGGAUUCAACGCCGGAAAUCUUACCGGGACCGACAGCAAUAUGAAGGCCAGGCUGAAGACUUUGCCGGAUUAGCUGAGAGGUGGUGCAUGGCCGUCGUCAGUUCGUACUGUGAAGCAUCCUGUUAAGUCAGGCAACGAGCGAGACCCACGCCCACAGUUGCCAGCGUACUCUCCGGAGUAACGGGUACACUGUGGGGACCGCCGCUGCUAAAGCGGAGGAAGGAAUGGGCAACGGUAGGUCAGUAUGCCCCGAAUAUCCCGGGCUACACGCGAGCUACAAUGGUUGGUACAAUGGGUAUCUACCCCGGAAAGGGGAUGGAAAUCUCCUAAAGCCAAUCUUAGUUCGGAUUGAGGGCUGCAACUCGCCCUCA
rnacentral:rRNA from 1 species